rnacentral:lncRNA from 1 species
UAUGCCGGACCUCCAUUAGCAACGAUUUUUAAUCUUUUUUCGAUUUUAGCUCCAAUUCAACCUGAAAUCAAUAAAACACCUUAAUAGGUCCUCAUACAAAUAAAACCUAUAAUAAAACCAAAUUUAAAGGAAUCAAAAUCAUAGAAUAUUAUGCACUCAUCAAAUUUAUUGAAGCUAAUUUAUAAAGAAAUCAACAUUGAGAAAUUAACCAAAAGACAAUCAAUAUUCUCAAAUUAAAACAUAAAUAUAACCUAAACUUAAUACCAUUGUGAGGAUGUACUGUACACAACUUUUGUUUCCACCACCACACGCUUUGUCUCUGCCACUACUGGUUGGACGGUCCCGUAGGGAAGGAGGGAAAAGGAAGGAAAGAGGGGUUGUCCGGCGGGAUGGACGGCGCCGAUGGGAGAAGGUCUUUGUCAGGGUGAG